AAAAGGUGGAAAAAAGUGGGGAAAAGUUGGAAAAUAAGGGGGAAAAUGUGGGGAAAAAUUCAGAUUUUAGCAAUUAAAAGGUAAAGAAAAAAAAGAAAAAUUUUGGUCUUCCAAAAAAUAGCCUUCAAAGACAUUCUCCGGCUAAUGAACUGCCGGAACGAGCAGCCAACACCCACCUCAAACGACCCUGUUUCUCCAUUUUUUUAUUUGUUUUUCAGACCCCAACGAACCGCCUUGCUAGACCUCAAACUCCGGCGGGACUCAAAGACGAAACAACCAGCAAAACGCCGACCUCCGUAGCUCCGGCAAACAAGUACACGGAGUUGCUUCCCAUUGAAGUUAUUCGAACGGAGUUUGAAUUAUAAUUUUUAUUUAUUAUUUUGUAUAUAUUGAUGCUAGACAAAUUUUAGGUCGUGUCUUAGUAUACACAAUAUUUCUGCAGGCUCUCAUUAAAAAAUAGGACAGGCUUGGACCAAAGCCCAGAUUAAUCCGUAACAGUUGUUAGGCUCAAAAUCAGCUCAAGCGGACAUACUUUUGAUUUUGGGCCCAAUAGGCCCAUUUUUUGGUAUUUGUGAUAAUCUGGAAAUUUUACUAUUAUUGAAUAUUUGAUAUAUUUUUUGUCUACUAA